CUGCCACAAUGAAUGAGUCCGGUUUCGGCCGGACUAGGUGAUCCACACCAGUGCUUCGGACAGCGGUUCGAUUCCGCUCAGCUCCAUUCGCCUUCUUCGUUCUGGCUGCUUGCCGGGAUCCGGGCACGUCCCGGGGCUGCAAUGGUUUCGACGGGGUAUGAGGAGGGUGACUGAAGCCUGCUCGGUAAGAGCAAACCCGUAACAGCGAACAACAUCGUUCGUUUCUCCCGUCAAGCUGCCCCUGUGGCUGCCUGACAUCUCUAAGGGAGAUGGGGUGAGGUCAGCCUUAUCACCCAAAUGACCCAUGGGCCCUGGAAGGGGCC
rnacentral:tmRNA from 1 species